rnacentral:rRNA from 1 species
AUACGAAGGGGGCUAGCGUUGUUCGGAAUUACUGGGCGUAAAGCGCGCGUAGGCGGACUGGACAGUUAGGGGUGAAAUCCCAGGGCUUAACCCUGGAACUGCCUCUAAUACUGCCAGUCUUGAGUUCGGGAGAGGUGAGUGGAAUUCCUAGUGUAGAGGUGAAAUUCGUAGAUAUUAGGAAGAACACCAGUGGCGAAGGCGGCUCACUGGCCCGAUACUGACGCUGAGGCGCGAAAGCGUGGGGAGCAAACAGGAUUAGAAACCCUAGUAGUCC